UACGUAGGGCGCAAGCGUUGUCCGGAAUUAUUGGGCGUAAAGAGCUCGUAGGCGGCCUGUCGCGUCCGCUGUGAAAUCCCGGGGCUUAACCCCGGGCGUGCAGUGGAUACGGGCUGGCUGGAGGCAGGCAGGGGAGAACGGAAUUCCCGGUGUAGCGGUGAAAUGCGCAGAUAUCAGGAGGAACACCGGUAGCGAAGGCGGGUCUCUGGGACAACUGAACGUCGUGAGGAACGAAAGCGUGGGGAGCAAACAGG
rnacentral:rRNA from 1 species